AUUGAACGCUGGCGGCAGGCCUAACACAUGCAAGUCGAACGGUAACAGGAAACAGCUUGCUGUUUCGCUGACGAGUGGCGGACGGGUGAGUCAUGUCUGGGACACUGCCUGAUGGAGGGGGAUAACUACUGGAAACGGUAGCUAAUACCGCAUAACGUCGCAAGACCAAAGAGGGGGACCCUCGGGCCUCUUGCCAUCGGAUGUGCCCAGAUGGGAUUAGCUUGUUGGUGGGGUAACGGCUUACCAAGGCGACGAUCCCUAGCUGGUCUGAGAGGAUGACCAGCCACACUGGAACUGAGACACGGUCCAGACUCCUACGGGAGGCAGCAGUGGGGAAUAUUGCACAAUGGGCGAAAGCCUGAUGCAGCAAUGCCGCGUGUAUGAAGAAGGCCUUCGGGUUGUAAAGUACUUUCAGCGGGGAGGAAGGGAGUAAAGUUAAUACCUUUGCUCAUUGACGUUACCCGCAGAAGAAGCACCGGCUAACUCCGUG
rnacentral:rRNA from 1 species